rnacentral:rRNA from 1 species
GAUGAACGCUGGCGGCGUGCCUAAUACAUGCAAGUCGAGCGAACGGACGAGAAGCUUGCUUCUCUGAUGUUAGCGGCGGACGGGUGAUUAACACGUGGAUAACCUACCUAUAACACUUUCAUAACUUCGGGAAACCGGAGCUAAUAACGGGUAAUAUUUUGAACCUCAUGGUUCAAAAGUGAAAGACGGUCUUGCUGUCACUUAUAGAUGGAUCCGCGCUGCAUUAGCUAGUUGGUAAGGUAACGGCUUACCAAGGCAACGAUGCAUAGCCGACCUGAGAGGGUGAUCGGCGACACUGGAACGGAGACAAGGUCCAGACUCCUACGGGAGGAAGCAGUAGGGAAUCGUACGCAAUGGGCGGAAGACUGACGGAGCAGCGACGCGGGAGGGAUGAAGGUCUUCGGAUCGUAAAACUCUGUUAUUAGGGAAGAAGAUAUGUGGAAGUAACUGUGCACAUCUUGACGGUACCUAAUCAGAAAGCGACGGCUAACUACGUG